CAGUGGAAAGCCUCAUCCUCCUUAUCUCUAUUCGCGGAUCGAAGAUCUUAACACAAAGUGUAACAUUCAUCGUAGUUUCCCUAUCUCCGAGCACAUGGACUGCACAAAUGUUUAGUAAGAGAAUAUUCAGUUCUGCGGAUGGCUAAAGCAGUUCUCUAGACUGUUAUGUUAGGAAAAAUAAUGUAUAUGUAUAUAUCUAUGAAUAUGAAUUGGAUAAAUAAUGAAUUUAUGCAUA